GACGAACGCUGGCGGCGUGCUUAACACAUGCAAGUCGAACGGUAAGGCCCCUUCGGGGGUACACGAGUGGCGAACGGGUGAGUAACACGUGGGUAAUCUGCCCUGCACUUCGGGAUAAGCCUGGGAAACUGGGUCUAAUACCGGAUAUGAGCUCUCAUCGCACGGUGGGGGUGGGAAAGUUUUUCGGUGCAGGAUGAGCCCGCGGCCUAUCAGCUUGUUGGUGGGGUAAUGGCCUACCAAGGCGACGACGGGUAGCCGGCCUGAGAGGGUGAUCGGCCACACUGGGACUGAGACACGGCCCAGACUCCUACGGGAGGCAGCAGUGGGGAAUAUUGCACAAUGGGCGGAAGCCUGAUGCAGCGACGCCGCGUGGGGGAUGACGGUCUUCGGAUUGUAAACCCCUUUCAGUAGGGACGAAGCGCAAGUGACGGUACCUGCAGAAGAAGCACCGGCCAACUACGUGCCAGCCGCCGCAGUAA
rnacentral:rRNA from 1 species